rnacentral:rRNA from 1 species
AUGGGGGAAACCCUGAUGCAGCGACGCCGCGUGAGCGAUGAAGCCCUUCGGGGUGUAAAGCUCUUUCGGCAGGGAAGAUGAUGACGGUACCUGCAGAAGCAGCUGCGGCUAACUACGUGCCAGCAGCCGCGGUAAUACGUAGGCAGCAAGCGUUGUUCGGAGUUACUGGGCGUAAAGGGUGUGUAGGCGGUUGUUUAAGCUUGGUGUGAAAUCUCCCGGCUCAACCGGGAGGGUGCGCCGAAUACUGAAUGACUCGAGUGCGGGAGAGGAGAGUGGAAUUCCUGGUGUAGCGGUGAAAUGCGUAGAUAUCAGGAGGAACACCGGUGGUGUAGACGGCUCUCUGGACCGUAACUGACGCUGAGACACGAAAGCGUGGGUAGCAAACAGGAUUAGAUACCCUGGUAGUCCACGCCCUAAACGAUGCAUAUUUGGUGUGGGCAGUUCAUUCUGUCCGUGCCGGAGCUAACGCGUUAAAUAUGCCGCCUGGGGAGUACAGUCGCAAGGCUGAAACUCAAAGGAAUUGACGGGGGCCCGCACAAGCGGUGGAGCAUGUGGUUCAAUUCGACGCAACGCGAAGAACCUUACCUGGGCUCGAACGGCUGGUCAACGGAGGUGGAAACAUCUUUACCCCGCAAGGGGGUCCAGUCGAGGUGCUGCAUGGCUGUCGUCAGCUCGUGUCGUGAGAUGUUGGGUUAAGUCCCGCAACGAGCGCAACCCUUGUCCUGUGUUGCCAUGCCGAAAGGCGGAACUCGCAGGAGACCGCCAGCGAUAAGCUGGAGGAAGGUGGGGAUGACGUCAAGUCCUCAUGGCCUUUAUGUCCAGGGCUACACACGUGCUACAAUGGACGGUACAAAGCGCCGCGAACCCGCGAGGGGGAGCCAAUCGCAAAAAACCGUUCUCAGUUCGGAUUGCAGGCUGCAACUCGCCUGCAUGAAGCUGGAAUCGCUAGUAAUGGCAGAUCAGCACGCUGCCGUGAAUACGUUCCCGGGCCUUGUACACACCGCCCGUCACAUCACGAAAGUGGAUUGUACUAGAAGUCUGCAGGCUGA